ensembl:ncRNA F39B1.4 ncRNA
AAAAAUGAUAAGCCCAAUGCGGGGCUCGAACCCGCGACAACCAGAUUAAGAGUCUGGUGCUCUACCGACUGAGCUAACCGGGCCGCGACA